GAACUAAGAGAGUGUAUAAAGUCAUGAGGAAUGGAAAAGAGUGCUUCCAUAACCCAUAAAGUAUUAGAUACGCAGAGAAAAAUGCGACAGCGAUCAAUAGGCGGCUCCUGGAGGCCACCCCCGCUGUGGCGUCUCUCCGGAAUA
ensembl:ncRNA F55C10.8 ncRNA